GACAGAGGGUGCAAACGUUGUUCGGAAUUACUGGGCGUAAAGCGUGUGUAGGCGGUCUCAAAAGUCGGAUGUGAAAGCCCCGGGCUCAACCCGGGAAGUGCAUUCGAAACUGCGAGGCUAGAGUAUCGGAGAGGUUGGUGGAAUUCUCGGUGUAGAGGUGAAAUUCGUAGAUAUCGGGAGGAACACCAAUGGCGAAGGCAGCUCGCUGGGACGGUACUGACGCUGAGGCGCGAAAGCGUGGGGAGCAAACAGG
rnacentral:rRNA from 1 species